UAACACCAUAGGUCUCCAACUGGGGCCAAACACUCAAUUCCACCGCUGAUGUCUUCUUGCAUACUCAGUUAAAUCCAACACUUCACCCUCUUCCCACUUCUCCGAGGGCUGCCCCGCGGUCUGUCCGGCCGUGUCCCAGGCCUUGGCGCGGCUGAGGCAUGACCGGAAUGCGCGGGAGGACGCGGGGCACGGAGGGGACCUGAGGCACGGAGGGAACCCGGGGCGGGCCGGACUGGCCUGGGCCCUCGUCGGGGCGGUGCUCGACCCGGCCCGCGCCCCCCGCCCCGACACUCGCAGCCCCGCCUCCGGACCCCGGGUAGUUGCCAUCCCC
rnacentral:lncRNA from 10 species